UUGGGUUCUCCUACCCUCUUCUUCUCGGGUCUCAUCUGCCUUCAAGGAGGAGAGGCACAGGGAUAUGAAGUAUGCAACCCGUGGACCCAUGUACAUGGUUCUGCCUUAUUCAAAAAGUGCAAUUUUGAAAAACCCACAUCAAGGUGAAGACGUGGAUUAAAGUCCAGACCAGGUGGAGAAUAGCUACCCAGCGUUCGGAUCACCUGCCAGCCAGCCGGCCGGCCAACCCAGCCUGCCAGAUGCCUCUUGCCAAUGUUAAUGAUACCCAAGACACAGAAAGAAAUGGAAUCCUGCUGAGAAGUCUGCUUCCCAAGACAUUGUGCUAACAGUUUUCAAACUUUACCCAAGCAAUGGUUCCCAGGAACAAAAGCU